rnacentral:tRNA from 1 species
UCCCUAGUGGUCCAAUGGUCAGGAUUUGGCAUUUUCACUGCCGUAGUCCAGGUUUAAUUCCCAGUCAGGGAA